GACGAACGCUGGCGGCGUGCUUAACACAUGCAAGUCGAACGGAAAGGCCCUGCUUUUGUGGGGUGCUCGAGUGGCGAACGGGUGAGUAACACGUGAGUAACCUGCCCUUGACUUUGGGAUAACUUCAGGAAACUGGGGCUAAUACCGGAUAGGAGCUCCUGCCGCAUGGUGGGGGUUGGAAAGUUUCGGCGGUUGGGGAUGGACUCGCGGCUUAUCAGCUUGUUGGUGGGGUAGUGGCUUACCAAGGCUUUGACGGGUAGCCGGCCUGAGAGGGUGACCGGCCACAUUGGGACUGAGAUACGGCCCAGACUCCUACGGGAGGCAGCGGUGGGGAAUAUUGCACAAUGGGCGGAAGCCUGGUGCAGCAACGCCGCGUGCGGGAUGACGGCCUUCGGGUUGUAAACCGCUUUCGCCUGUGACGAAGCGUGAGUGACGGUAAUGGGUAAAGAAGCACCGGCUAACUACGUG
rnacentral:rRNA from 1 species